CCACCACCAUCACUGAGCAUUGAGCCAAUUAGCAACCCUCCAAGAGCACCGCCCACUAGACCAGCUCCCAGUCCACCACCCAUGCCGCUACUUCUGCGUGGAGGAGGUUGACCAUACGCACCCGGUGGAUAAUAUGGUGGAGGCAUACCGCCAGGAGGUGUUUGAUACAUAGGGCCCUGUUGGUACAUUGGAUAAGGCUGGGCAGCACCCGGUUGGCCAUAAGCAGGAGGAUAGCCAGGAGCUGGGUAUGCAUACGCAGGAGCAUCUUUACCAUUACCACCAGGCACGGGCAUCCCCAUCAUGUAAGGUGGCGCAGCUGCUCCCAUUGGUUGCUGUGGGUAUUUGAUCAGCUCUCCCAGUUUGAUGGAUACAUUCAAGGUACCUUUUGCUUUCCCAGACUUCCUCA
rnacentral:lncRNA from 1 species